AUGGGAGGUGGGAAGCAUGGAUUUUCGAAGAUUAAAAAGAAGUUUAGAAAAUAUCAGAAAGGAGGCGUUGAAAAAGAUUUGGUAAACAAGGCAUUGUCGAAGCCUGAGGAACCAAAGCCGAAUGCUGGUGAUCUAGAUCAGUGUAAAUCAGAAAAUGCAGAUUCUGUUGGUGAUGCUGAGGAGGAUGACAAUGAUUUUAUUACCAAUGAGGCGAGGAUGAAUAGGAAGAGGCGUAGACGGUCUCUAAUGAAUGGAGGGAUGUUAAGGCAGAAGGUCAACAAUGGUGGCGAGGCUUUGAUGCUGCUUAUGAAAAGUGAAGUGUUGGAAAAUGUAGUUUUAUCACUGUAG